rnacentral:lncRNA from 1 species
UGGGCGGGAAAAGCCGGCGGGCGGUGCAUGCGUAUUUGCGUUGGGCAGGAAAAAACUGGCGGAUGACGCAUGCGCAAUGGGGUCGGGCGGGAAAAGCCGGCGGGCGGCGCAUGCGCUAGAGCGUUAGGUGGGAAAAACGGGGAAGCGGCGCAUGCGCAGUGGGAUUAGGCGGGAAAACAUGGCGAUUGGCACAUGUGCAGUGGGAUUAGGCGGGAAAACAUGGCGAUUGGCGCACGCGCAGUGGGAUCGGGCGGGAAAAGCCGGCGGGCGGCGCAUGCGCAGAGCGCAGCGGCGGCAGCGACAUUUUGGCAGCGGCUUCGGCGACCUGCGCGAAGCUCAGCCGCGAGGCACCGACCCGCAGAGCACCGGGGGCAGCCCGGCCGGGCGGUUCCCGCUCCCGCUCCCUUCCCUCACCGGCACCGCUCCCGAGGUGACCGUCYGCCAUGGCGCUGGUGUCGGCCGACUCGCGCAUCGCGGAGCUGCUGGGGGAGCUGCACCAGCUCAUCAAGCAGACGCAGGAGGAGCGAUCGCGCAGCGAGCACAACCUGGUCAACAUCCAGAAGACGCACGAGCGGAUGCAGACGGAGAACAAGAUCUCUCCCUACUACCGCACCAAGCUGCGGGGGCUGUACACCACCGCCAAGGCUGACGCCGAGGCGGAGUGCAAGUAGGUCCGGGGGCCGCUUUGGCGCCGCACGCCGCGCUUUUGCCCCAUUUCACUGCUAUUUUGGGGGUUUUUUUGUGCUUUUUCCGUAGUAUUUUG